UAGGGAAUAUUGCACCAUGGGCGAAAGCCUGAUGCAGCAACGCCGCGUGAGUGAUGAAGGCCCUCGGGUCGUAAAACUCUUUUCAAGAGGAAGAGGAAGGACGGUACUCUUGGAAUAAGCCUCGGCUAACUACGUGCCAGCAGCCGCGGUAACACGUAGGAGGCGAGCGUUAUUCGGAUUUACUGGGCGUAAAGCGCGUGUAGGCGGCUUAUUAAGUUGGAUGUGAAAGCUCCUGGCUUAACUGGGAGAGGACGUUCAAAACUAGUAAGCUUGAGUACGAGAGAGGAAAAUGGAAUUCCGGGUGUAGUGGUGAAAUGCGUAGAUAUCCGGAGGAACACCAGUGGCGAAGGCGAUUUUCUGGCUCGAGACUGACGCUCAGACGCGAAAGCUAGGGUAGCAAA
rnacentral:rRNA from 1 species